AGUAUUGCGCAAUGGGCGAAAGCCUGACGCAGCAACGCCGCGUGGGGGAUGAAGGCUCUCGGGUCGUAAACCCCUUUCAGCAGGGACGAUUAUGACGGUACCUGCAGAAGAAGGACCGGCCAACUACGUGCCAGCAGCCGCGGUAAUACGUAGGGUCCGAGCGUUGUCCGGAUUUAUUGGGCGUAAAGAGCUCGUAGGCGGCUCAGUAAGUCGGAUGUGAAAACUCGGGGCUCAACCCCGAGACGCCAUUCGAUACUGCUGUGGCUUGAGUCUGGUAGGGGAACACGGAAUUCCUGGUGUAGCGGUGAAGUGCGCAGAUAUCAGGAGGAACACCGAUGGCGAAGGCAGUGUUCUGGGCCAGUACUGACGCUGAGGAGCGAAAGCGUGGGUAGCAAACAGG
rnacentral:rRNA from 1 species